rnacentral:rRNA from 1 species
AUGAACGCUGGCGGCGUGCCUCAUACAUGCAAGUCGAGCGAACAGACGAGGAGCUUGCUCCUCUGACGUUAGCGGCGGACGGGUGAGUAACACGUGGAUAACCUACCUAUAAGACUGGGAUAACUUCGGGAAACUGGAGCUAAUACCGGAUAAUAUAUUGAACCGCAUGGUUCAAUAGUGAAAGACGGUUUUGCUGUCACUUAUAGAUGGAUCCGCGCCGCAUUAGCUAGUUGGUAAGGUAACGGCUUACCAAGGCAACGAUGCGUAGCCGACCUGAGAGGGUGAUCGGCCACACUGGAACUGAGACACGGUCCAGACUCCUACGGGAGGCAGCAGUAGGGAAUCUUCCGCAAUGGGCGAAAGCUUGACGGAGCAACGCCGCGUGAGUGAUGAAGGUCUUCGGAUCGUAAAACUCUGUUAUUAGGGAAGAACAAAUGUGUAAGUAACUAUGCACGUCUUGACGGUACCUAAUCAGAAAGCCACGGCUAACUACGUG